rnacentral:rRNA from 1 species
GACGAACGCUGGCGGCGUGCCUAAUACAUGCAAGUCGAACGCAGUUGCGAACGGGUGAGUAACGCGUAGGUAACUGCCUGGUAGCGGGGGAUAACUAUUGGAAACGAUAGCUACUACCACCUACUACCAGAUCGACCUGCGUUGUAUUAGCUAGUUGGUGGGGUAACGGCUCACCAAGGCAACGAUACAUAGCAGACCUGGGAGGGUGAGCGGCCACACUGGGACUGGGACACGGCCCAGACCCCUACGGGAGGGAGCAGGAGGGAAUCUUCGGCAAUGGACGGAAGUCUGAACGAGCAAAGCCGCGGGAGUGAAGAAGGUUUUCGGAUCGUAAAGCUCUGUUGUAAGAGAAGCGGUAUCUUACCAGAAAGGGACGGCUAACUACGUGCCAGCCGCCGCGGUAAUUC